rnacentral:lncRNA from 1 species
CUUUUCCAUAUUCACAUGCCAUGCAUAUAUACAUCACAUAAAAGAAUAAUUUAUUCUUAUUUUAUAACUAUUCGUGGGUCCCACUCCAUUUUAGAUAACCAACAACAUACAAUGCAUCCUUUUCAUACUUUUCUCUCUCCUGCCAUGCAUAAUUAAGUAGCAGAAAUCUAUAUUCCACGUUUUUCAUUUAUACCCAUGAAUCAACUACAACAAAGUGACAUAUAGAAAUUGUUUUCUCCUUUCCCUUCACUCACGCGGUUCUAUAUAACAAGCACACAGUCAAAAUAAUUCAUACCCUUUCUAUCUCAUGCAAUAGUGAUAGACAAUAAAACAUUACAUCUCCUCUCCUGCAACCCAAAACUCUACUCAUAUACAUAAAUAUAUAAAACACAACCACUCCAUGAGUACACUUAAACCAAAAUUGGUGCUGCAUUCGGUAGAACACAACACUCUACCCUAAUACGUCUACCCAUAGUAGAUAGUGUGCCUCGACGUCUAAAAAGA